ensembl:lncRNA
GGGAAAUCAGUAAAGUGAAUUAGGCAGUAAAAUAUAGAUUUAAACUAAACUAUGACUAUAAUGUGCGCACGGAACUUUCUUGGAGAAAUAAGCUUUCUGUGUGCAAGGAGAAAUUACAGGAUUUGUUAUUUCUGUCACGUAACAAAACUCAUCAUGUUGCAGAUAUAUUAUUGUUCCGUCUUUUUCAACUGGUUUUAUAUGAUGGCCCAAGCAGCCCCGAAGUGCAGAAUAGUGCAUGAUUUGAAGGCUUUUUUGAAGAGGCUUUGCUGGGCAAAAGUGCCUGGCUGAAGUCCAUGUGUUGCUCUUCAGAUGGCCUCAAUGAGGCUGUAAUAUGUGGCAGUAGAUGGAUUAUUACUGGAGCACUUUAGGAGGAGACUGUCACCUAUGCAAUCUUUGUGAUGUAAACCGUUGUUUUUUUGUUUUUAAAUUUGAACCAAAUGGUCUUAUUAAUGUGUGCAGUAUGUUACACCUGUUGGGCUUUUUCUUUCUUUUCAUGUAAUAAUGAUCCAUAUAUACAUUUAGGACAGUUGCAGUUUUUGUUAUGACCAAGCUCCAUUAACAGUUCAGUAAGUAGCUUAAAUACAUAAGCAAAUUGUUCUCAAAUGGCAAAUGUCCAUUGUAGUGAAUUACCUGCACAACAGGGGUUCAUUAAUGAGAAGUGUGCCUUGGAGGUAAAGAGGAUAAAACUAUAUAGUGACGUAAGUGUUUGUGUAUGCUACCCCCUUGUGGCUAUUUUGAGUCACUACAGUUGUGGCAGAGGUCUUUUUUUUUUUUAACCCGCACUCUCUCUUCCUCAGCUGUCUCUGGGCCCGGUUCCCAGUCUUUUAAAAGGGGUAUUGGGGAAAGGGGGGUUGAUUUCAUGGCAUAUGAUUGUUUAGUCUCAGUUCCUAAGGGGUUCUACCCUCUCUUUCAAGUCUUUCUCGUGUGUCGAUGCAGUGUGAAGCACAGCAGUUGUGAAAAGAUUAUACAUGCACAAGCAUGAGGCCAUGACAUCAGAUGUCCUGAAAAUUACACCUAAAUUCACCUCUGAUUAUAGUGAUACGUAACAACAGAAUCUAUCCAAGUACUGCAGGAUUAGAUUUAAAUGAUAAUUAGUAUUUGUGAAUAUUUUAUACAGCUUGCAGUUACAACCAGGGGAACCUGAAAUAUGAGCUCGACAUUGGAACAGUUAACAUCUGUUCCAG